AACGAACGCUGGCGGCACGCCUAACACAUGCAAGUCGAACGAGACCUUCGGGACUAGUUGCGCACAGGUGCGUAACGCGUGGGAACCGGCCCUUAGGUUCGGAAUAACUCCCCGACAGGGGUGCUAAUACAGGAUAAUGUCUUCUAACCAAAGAUUUGUCGCCUUUGGAUGGGCCCGCGUUGUUUUAGCUGGUUGGUAGUGUAAGAGCCUCUCACGGCAUGGAUCCCUAGCUGGGAUGAGAGGAAGAGACGCCACACUGGGACGCAGACACGGCCCAGAAUCUUAGGGGAGGCAGCAGUGGGGAAUAUUGGAAAAUGGGGGAAGGCAUGAUCGAGCAAUGCCGGGAGAGUGAUGAAGGCGUUAGGGAAGUAAAGCUGUUUUAUACGGGAUGAUAAUGACAGUACCGGGAGAAUAAGCUCCGGCUAACUUCGUG
rnacentral:rRNA from 1 species